rnacentral:rRNA from 1 species
UGCAAGUCGAACGAUGAAGCCCUUCGGGGUGGAUUAGUGGCGAACGGGUGAGUAACACGUGGGCAAUCUGCCCUGCACUCUGGGACAAGCCCUGGAAACGGGGUCUAAUACCGGAUAUGAGCCUCCGAGGCAUCUUGGGGGUUGGAAAGCUCCGGCGGUGCAGGAUGAGCCCGCGGCCUAUCAGCUUGUUGGUGAGGUAGUGGCUCACCAAGGCGACGACGGGUAGCCGGCCUGAGAGGGCGACCGGCCACACUGGGACUGAGACACGGCCCAGACUCCUACGGGAGGCAGCAGUGGGGAAUAUUGCACAAUGGGCGCAAGCCUGAUGCAGCGACGCCGCGUGAGGGAUGACGGCCUUCGGGUUGUAAACCUCUUUCAGCAGGGAAGAAGCGCAAGUGACGGUACCUGCAGAAGAAGCGCCGGCUAACUACGUGCCAGCAGCCGCGGUAAUACGUAGGGCGCAAGCGUUGUCCGGAAUUAUUGGGCGUAAAGAGCUCGUAGGCGGCUUGUCGCGUCGGUUGUGAAAGCCCGGGGCUUAACUCCGGGUCUGCAGUCGAUACGGGCAGGCUAGAGUUCGGUAGGGGAGAUCGGAAUUCCUGGUGUAGCGGUGAAAUGCGCAGAUAUCAGGAGGAACACCGGUGGCGAAGGCGGAUCUCUGGGCCGAUACUGACGCUGAGGAGCGAAAGCGUGGGGAGCGAACUCGAUUAGAUACCCUGGUAGUCCACGCCGUACACGGUGGGCACUAUGUGUGGGCAGCAUUCUACGUUGUCC